UAAAACCUCUCCGGGAACCAUCACCUUAUCGUGGUGGAGAGGUUUGUGUGUCCCUGUGAACCUGAGGGCUGUGUUGUCUGGAGCUUUGUGCUCCUGGUAGGGUCUCCCAUGGCAAAGAGGUCUCAGGGGAGGGGCCAGACAAAGAAUGGUUCAAAAACUCUAAUGGACAAUCAAGGAAGGGAUAGAGGGACCCCGCCCGGGGACCCAGGACUAGGUGGAGAGAUUAUAUCUCUAACCGGGCCUGGGAAUGCCUUGGGAUCCCCCAGUCGGAGCGGGUUGAUGUGGCUCGGGAAAGGGA